GAUCUGGUGGUGAAAUGUAUCACACCCACUCUGCCUUACAGAACUGCCGACCAGUUUUGUGGGAAUCCCCGGUUCGAACCCGGGCCAGGUCA